rnacentral:rRNA from 1 species
UGGGUAACCUGCCCAAGAGAUCGGGAUAACACCUGGAAACAGAUGCUAAUACCGGAUAACAACAGAUGAUGCCUAUCAACUGUUUAAAAGAUGGUUCUGCUGUCACUCUUGGAUGGACCUGCGGUGCAUUAACUAGUUGGUAGGGUAACGGCCUACCAAGGCGAUGAUGCAUAGCCGAGUUGAGAGACUGAUCGGCCACAUUGGGACUGAGACACGGCCCAAACUCCUACGGGAGGCAGCAGGG